GAAUUGCCGUGAUCGAUGAAUGC
rnacentral:siRNA from 1 species